GAAGGCCCCACAUCCAGGAAUGAGCCUCUGGGAGAUGCUGAGGGUGUGUCUGCAGGGAGGACUUCUCAAGCCCCAGGGCCAGAUGCUUGGCCCCAACCCAGCUCCCAUGGCAUGGGUCCUCCGAAAGGAAAGACCCAAUUAUUUGCCGCCAAAACGUCUCAUGACUCAGAUGAAUUCUGGAGACAAACACAGAAGGAAGCAACCCGAGGACAAGUGAUGGAACAAAAGGCUGUUCAGGAGGAGGAACACUCAGGGAGAAGCAGUGGCUCAUUGGCAGCCCUAGCUGCAGGAAGGAAGGCAAAGCCAGACACGGGCACAGGCACAGCAGAUGCAGCCGGCACCACAAGACCUGUUCCCAAUGCCCAGGAUGGCCUCGGAAGGGGUUUCUAUCAGGAAACAGGCUACUGGCUAGCAAUACUGGCAUUUCUGUUUUGUUUGGAGCUUGUCUUCGUGUUGUGCUUGUUUGGAAUCCGGUAUUUGGA